UGGCAGGAAAACUCUGGCGUAGAAGAUAAGGGGGCUGAUGCAAUUGCUACUUCCUGCUGCUGAGAACACAUUUCCAGAUGCCUGGCCACGUGUGCCAGGAGCAACACUGCCGUCCGAACAGAGAGCUCAAGUUGAAAUCACUCCAACCAUCUGACAGUCACCCCGUGCCUGCCUGUCUAUCUGCCUGCCUUCCUUAACUUGCUUUUAUUUUUUUCAUUUUCUGCUUUUUUUUUUGAGACAGCAUCUCUCUACAUAGCCUCGACUUUCUUGGAACUCACUAUGUAGACUAGGCUGGCCUCGAACUCACAGAGAUCCAUUUGUCUCUACCUCCUGAGUGCUGGGAUUAAAUUCAAGGGAUGCUGUGGGCAACCAGAAACACAAAGCCAAGCAGUGAUGGCCUGGAGCCUGUCCCAAACUCCCCAAGGAAGAAACUUGGGGAGGUGUCUCAUGAUUUUCAAGAGGACCCGGAGACUGG